ACAUGGGGCUCAAACUCGCUACCCUCGGAUCAAGAAUCACAUCCUCUACUGACUGAGCUACCCAGGCACCCCCAGAUCUGUUUCAUAUUAGGUGGUCAUAGAAGGUCGGAAAAACCAGAAUCAUGAUCUGAAGACAGGAGAGGACAAGCUUGCAGCAUCCUCUAGGCCCACCCAGCCUUUGGAUGACUGCAACCCUGGCCAGCACCUUGAUGACCACCUCCUGAGAUCUCUUGAGCCAGAACUGCCAAGUAGCUAAGCCACUACUUGAUGCUUGACCCUCAGAAACUGUUGGUGAUUUAUGUCUCUUCAUGGAUUUUAAAAUGAGAGUUUCAGUUUUUUCCUUUAAUUUCCAUCAAGAACCAGUACAACAGUAUAAAGGUACAAAUAGGAACCACUAGAAAACCUCAGAAAUGCAUGAUUCAAGGAUUUUGCAAGAUUAACAAAGGGUCAAGAUUUAGACAAAAGCUAACUCCUAAAGAUGCAGUUUAACAUUUCUCCUGGUACCCUCUUGGAUCAUCAAAGCAGCUGUGGCAGAUCAUAUAUUCCAAAAUGCCAGAACAAU